GGUUUUAAAAAUUUUUUAAAAAAAGAUAAUAUAUGGGUAAGAAGUCCAAGAUGGAAAAAACCAGUUCCUUUAAUAAUUUGUAAUUCAUGUCAACAAAAAAUGUAUAUGAGUCAAUGGUUAAAUUCAGAGGGUACUAAAGUUAAAAUGAAAUGUGAAUGUGGUUGGAAGACAUUAAUAAAAGAUGGUAAUACAUGGGUCAGAAGUGAAUGGUCUAAAAAAUUGUUAUGUAUUCGUUUAGUUAAAAAUCCAAAUUUAUUAAAUAAAAAAUAUAAUAUAUAUUCAAAAAAAAGAAUGAAAAUGGGACAAAUAAAAGAUGAAAAGGGACUAUAUAAAGAUCGUACUAAUAUUAACAGGUUAAAUCAUAUUAUCUCUAAUUGGUUUAAUAAUGUUACUAAUAAUGAGUAUAAAAAUUCGAUAGAUAAUAAUAUAAGUAAUACAUUAAAUACAGUUACAAAUAGUAAUGAAAAUUGGAACAAUCUUUCUACAAUCAAUAAUUAUAACACAGAUAUCGUUCCAUAUGAUAAUAUUUCAUCAAAUAAUCCAACAAUAUUAAAUAAUAACAACGAACAACCGAAUAGUAAUAAUAAAAAUGAAACAAACUAUAUAUCUAAUGUUUAUAAAUAUAUGCAAAUGAUUCAUUUAUUUAAUUUGAAUAAAGAAACAAAGUCACAAAAUUUAAAAAAAAUGAAUAAAAAAAAAAAUAAAAAUAAAAAUCUUAAAGUUACAAAAGAAAGUACAAAAUGUGGAAAUAAUAAUAGUUACAUUUCCAACGAUACAGAUAGUAAUAAAUUAAACUCGCAUAAUUUUUUAAUGAAUAAACAAAGUAAUAUGGAAAUGUUAUGUGAACAAUCUUAUUCAAAUGGAUAUGAACCAGAACAAUACAAUAAUAAUUAUUACUACAACUACACACCAGAAUAUAAUAAUCACGAUAAUUAUCAGUACACACCUAAAUACAAUAACGAAUGUGAUUAUCAUUAUACAUCCGAGUACGAUAAUCAUUGUGAAUAUCAUUACACAUCAGAGUAUGAUCAUCAAUAUGAUAACCCUAACGAUAACCAAUGCGACAACCGUAAUGAUAACCAAUGCGACAACCGUAACGACAACCGUAACGACAACCAUAACGAUAACCCUAACGAUAACCAGUAUGACAACCAAUAUUAUAACCAAUAUGACAACAAGUAUGACAACCAGUAUGAUAAUCAGUACAAUCAUAAAUAUGACAACCCAUGUGAUAAUCAAUACGAUUAUCAAUAUGAUAACCAAUACGAUAACCAAUACGAUAACCAAUACGAUAANNNNNNNNNNAACCAAUACGAUAACCAAUACGAUAACCAAUACGAUAACCAAUAUGACAACCAGCACAGGCAGAAUGAAUCAGAAAAAGAAAAAAAAAAUAUAACAAGCAUAAACAUAAGUGGCGAUAUGUAUUCAAAUAAUGAACAUUCAGAAGUUUUUAUGAAUAAUAAAAAUUUAUUAAAAAAAAAAUAUAAACCAUAUAUAAACGAAAAUAAAAAAAAAAAAAUAAAUAAAAAAAAAAACACAUUAAGCCAAAAUAUAAAUGAUUCAUCAGAUGUGGAUAUAUCAUCUAAUAAUAUUACUAAUAUUGUUAAUACGAAUGCGAAUGCGAAUACGAAUACGAGCAUGAACACGAAUACAAAUAUAAAUACGAGCACAGAUUUAGAUUCUAUAUUUACGUAUAAUGAAGAAAUAUUAGAUAUACCAAAACGUAAAACUAAAAAAACGAAUAAGUAUAAAUCAUCAAAUGAUAAACAAGAAAAAAAAAAUAGAGGUAAAAUAAUGGAAAAUAUAAAUAAUUAUUAUAAUAAUCUAAAGUUAAUUAAUAAAAAAAUAAUUGAAUAUUGUGCAUCAAAUACAACUUCACCAAAUACAAUUUCAUCAGAAGAGUUUAAUCAUAUAAUGAAUAACAACAACAACAACAACAACAACAACAACAACAACAACAGCAACAACAACAACAACAACAACAACAACAACAACAACAACAACAACANNNNNNNNNNCAACAACAACAACAACAACAACAACAACAACAACAACAACAACAACAACAACAACAACAACAACAAUAAUAAUAAUAAUAAUAAUAAUAAUAAUAAUGAAAAUAAUGAAAAUAAUGAAAAUAAUGAAAAUAAUAAUAAUAACAAUAAUAAUAAUAACAAUAAUAAUAAUAAUAACAAUAAUAAUAAUAACAAUAAUAACAAUAAUAAUAAUAACAAUAAUAAUAAUAACAAUAAUAANNNNNNNNNNUAACAAUAAUAAUAAUAACAAUAAUAAUAAUAACAAUAAUAAUAAUAUUAAUGAAAAUAAUAUUAAUGAAAAUAAUAAUAAUAAUAAUAAUAAUAAUAAUAAACAACUGACCAAUGACUCA
rnacentral:lncRNA from 1 species